UUCAGGCUGCUUUAUCUUCAUCAGGGAAACAAAACCAAUGCAAGACUAAUUUUAAAAGAUUACCAAAGUUUAUAUAUGACUCGGAUUUUAUGUCAGUGCAGGAUAAUUUCAGUAAUAUACCUCGGAGGUCACAUUUCAGUAUGAUUCGUCUAUGUCAGAGAAACUUAACCAAUGCAAAGAAUAAUAUUAGUAGUGUUUACAAGCUUUAUUUGGCUCUGUAUUCUGUCUCUGCCAAAAGAUAAGAAGUCUAUGGAAGGAUCACCCUAAGUCUUUGUCCAUAGUGUGUCUUUUCAGAAAUCAAAAUCAGUGUUAAGGAUUAUUAUAGUAGAGCUUUACCGGAGUUUAUAUAAGUUAGCUCAUAUAUAUAUUAAUGUCUUUCCAGGAGAUUUAAACUAGUGGAAGAAUAGUUUUUUUAUAUUCUUUUUUAUUUCAUUCCUUAUUGCAUCUAUGUCAUGAAAAUUGGAAGUAAUGUUGGGAUAAUUUUAAUAGUUUUCCCUGAAUUUGUAUAUAUUUUCACCCGUAUUUUAUUUUGUCAGGAAAAAACUAAGGCAGUGAUAGAAUAAUUAGAUAAUUCUUCCCUGAUUCUUUUAUAUAUUUUGUACGUUCAGUUAUGCCUAGGGAAUUUGAGCAAUGCGGAAAUAAUUUUAAUUGCUUUUCCUCAAGUAUGUAUAUUUUAACCCAUAUUUCAGUUCUUUUAUAUAUUUUGUUCCUUCAGUUCUGUCUAGGGAAUUUGAGCAAUGUGGGAAUGAUUCUAAUAGUUUUUCCUUGAGUAUUUACACUUUAACCCACAUUUCAGUUCUGUCAUGGGAAUUUGAGCAAUGUGGGAAUAAUUCUAAUAGUUUUUCCUUGAGUAUUUACACUUUAACCCACAUUUCAGUUCUGUCGCAAAAACUAAAGCAAUGUUAGAAUAAUUUCAACCCUUGGACGGCGGUGCAACUCUAUACAGUCUAUAUUCAGUCUACUCUAUAUUCAGUCAGUCGGUUUUGUAUGGCAGAAAUAUAACAGCACUUCCAAAUCGCGGUAGAAUCUAUAUGUAGACGAUUGUUAAAACAUCUGUUAUGCGGCGUAAUUAUAUUUAUGCUACGGUUUUAAGGUCGGCAGUGACUGUAUGUAGACGAUUCAUUUUGGGUGGAGCUACUCUUCAAAUACUGCUGCCGUCUGAGGGUUCAUGAUUUCUACCUUAUUUCAGUUCUUUCAGGUGAUUUAAACCAGUGUCAGAAAUUCCUAUAAUAUUCCCCUAAGUUUUUGUCCUGAUUCUUAUGCUCAUUGUUUCUCUGGGUUCUGCAUUUCCCCUUUAGAGGUGCUGAUCAUUGUGCAAAAAUACUCAUACCUCCGCAAGCGUUCCCUCAAACCACCAAAGAAGAUGUUACAGUGUCCAAAGAGAGAGCCUGGGAAAUGCAUGCACGGUGUCACUUGGGAUUCUGAAGAUACCUGCUUUGAUUUUGUUGCCCUCGUUAACAAACUGCCUAAGUCAUUUUUCAGGAGUUUACAGAUUUUUGCUUAGAUCUUUUUAUUUAUUUAUUUUUUUUCUAUCAGGUGAUGUGGUUUUGGUAUAGUCACUCCUCCAUCUGAAAUUCUCCCUCUCAUUUUUACCCUCAUGUUCAGUUUUCUUUACUGGAACGUAGCAUAGCAGACCUUUUUUUCUUUCUCUUUUCUUAUGUUUCCCUUGAGCUGCUUCCACUACCGUAAAAAAAAUAAAACUAAGCUGCAUUUGCCUUUAUAGCGUGUGAGUGUUCUAAAAUCCACCUCAACUUUUUUCCUAUAUCACAAAUCGACUUAGAAAAUGAGACUGUUUCUUUUUCCAUUUCCCGACAAGUAGAAAAAAAUUGACUUACUGCAGUUUGUUCAUGAAGGUGACGAUUGGGUUUUGCGGCUCAUUUCUGUCCCUAAUGCCAGUAUAAGGGCUUUGAUAACUAUACGAGGCUGCGGAUACCAAAAUAGUGGCUCAUGAGUGCUUUGCCGAGACUCACACUGGGGGAUCAGAUUGCUUUUAUUAUUGUUAUUAUUUUUGUUUAUCUUCGUUUUCUCUUCGUUUAACAUCCUAAUCUUUCUUUUUGGGUUUGUAUGUUAUGUUGGGUGUUUGUUAUGUUUACUUUUAUAUUUUUUUGUCUUCUGCUUUAUUGUUGUUAAUAUUCUUAGCUUAUUUUCACCUCAGGCAUAAUUCAGUGAUAUAUUUUUUGCGUAACGGUCUUCUUUUUGGUCAUGCAUUGUCCAUUACCGUUCUUAGUCAUGUGUGUGCAACGAAUGAGAUUUUUGUGGGACGUAAUUAUAUGUGCGACUUGAUUUGAAGGGGAUUGAAGUGCGUGUGUGCGUUCGCGUGUGCAUGUGUGUGUGUACGUGCAUGUGUGUCGUACAGCUAACUAAACCUCUCACUCCAUAGAUCUUGUACAAAAAAAACGUCUGCUUGCACAAGUGUACGUUAAGAUUUAUUUUUUCAUGUACCUGUCACUCAUAAAACCAAACCUCACCGCACAGUUUCAAGACGGACUCAAUUACUGUGCAUUCCCCUACCUAUACACACACAUCAACAGGUGCAUUUAAGUGUAACUGUAUAGAAGAUGCAUAAUGUCUGUUAGAGAAUUGUGGCUUGGGUAGAUCCAGCUUAUGAGACCAAUGAUGGGAGGAAAAGUCUGAGUUUCUGUGUUUAUUUGCUUUUCUGGGCUAGAUUUUUAUACCUUCCCGCUUACUACAGUGUUGGUUCGUUGUUAACCCGGUAGCAGCGGGGAUCAUGUUUCUUAAUGGUCCCUCUAAGCGAGAAAAAUGAAAAAAAAUCAUCACUCCCACAAACCAUUUCAUAAUAUAUAUCAAAGCAUUUGUGAUCAGUUUAUGUAUCAUCUAUUUUAGGGGGUUUAUAUCAUGGCACAUAUUUGGCCUGUCGCUGGUACACGGUAAAGCUACAAAUUUGGCCCGUCGCUGCUACCGGGUUAAAAUGUGUAUAUGUUGAUUCAAGAUUAUUCAUGUCGUGUAGAUUUGCCUAGUUUUUUGUUUUAGGUUCUGAUGUAUAUUUUGGUUAGUCAGUCAGCACGAGAUUUCAGAAUACAUUUUUCCUUCACUAGUAUUGUGUUAACUCAUUAUUAGAAUUUGUAUGUAUUGAUUAAUUUAUGUAAUGUAGAAAGUUAAUUUAUUUUUUGAAGAACCCGGAAAAAGUGGUUAUUUGAAGUGGUAAUUUAUUUAGCACACAGGAAAGACCUCACUGUGUAUAUACUUUGUUUCAGUAUCUCUUUAUUAAUUGAACAUAGUUUGUAUAUUGUGUAGCAUUCAACAUUAUUUAUUUUCCAAGAAGUUGGCUAAACUGAUAAUCCCUUUGGUCUUUUGGAAAAGCCCAUCUGUGUAAAUGCUUUGAUUUGGUAAUGUUUUAAUGGCUGGAAAUAAUUGAUAUCGUGUAGUAUUUCACAGUAUUAAUAUUUCAAGAAGUUUCAUAAUGCAGUAAUUUCUUCUUCUUUGAUGCACUGGAACACCUAUAACUCUGUAAAUAUUUCAAUUCAGUAACUUUUCAUUGGUGUAAAUACUUGGGUUCAGUGAGAUUUUAUCGGCUCAGAGUUAUUCAUAUUGUAUAACGACUAUAUUUAUUUAUCUGGAAGACUAGAUAAAGUGAUAAUUUCUUUGGCACUGAAAUGGCCCAUCUUUGUAAAUACCUUGACUUGAUAACUUUCCUCUAAGACACAGUAAAGAAGCGAUUAAUUCAACUUUUUUUCCGAUGUAGCGUAAGCAGAGUCGUGGUUCGGCGAGGACCUUAAACCACUUCGUAAUGUGUUCGCUUCCACGCUGGUGUUUUAGGUUUACAUGUCUAGAUGCAGUGGUGACGCAUAGCACUCUGAGUACGUAUACUUUCCCAAGGCAGUGGACGCCAGUACAUACACCCCUUUGGUUGGACGUGUGAGCUGUGAUGUUCUAGUGUUUAAUACGGCGCCGUGUUUAUUGCUGUUUUCAAGUAGAGGGGUAACUGUUGCAUUUUUCCGUGGUUUGUAGAUAUCUUGAAGCACUCCAUAUUAUUUGUUUCGCUGUGUGUUUUCAAGUGCGAUGGUUAAACAGGGAUUUUUACUGUACCCCUUUGACCUGUAUUUUACUUUAUAUUUUCAAGUGCUAUGGGUAAGCAAGUAUUUUUGAACUAUUUACUCCCAUAACCUUUAUUUAUUUCACUAUAUAUUUUCAAGUACUAUAGGUUAACAAGCAUUUCUUAACUCUUUACCCCCUUAACCUUUAUUUAUUUCACUUUAUAUUUUCAAGUACUAUAGGUUAACAAGCAUUUCUUAACUCUUUACCCCCUUAACCUUUAUUUAUUUCACUUUAUAUUUUCAAGUACUAUAGAUUAACAAGCAUUUUUUAACUCUUUACCCCCUUAACCUUUAUUUAUUUCACUUUAUAUAUUCAAGUGCAAGCAUUUCUACUGUACCCUCUUACAUUUAUUUACUUUUGAUGCUGAGAAGGUGUUUAUGAAUAGGUGAAGAUGAGUAGUUUUUCAUCCUGUAUAUCCAUCACUUGCUAUUUAUUUAAGGCAACGGGAAGGUUUUUAAGGAUGGGUAUACAUAGUUGAGUAUUUUUCUGUCCUGUACAUCCUUAUCAUUUGUUUCUGUGGCCAGUAAGGUUUUUGAAGAAUGGGUACAGGCUAAUAGUAUUCUUAAGUCAUUUUUCUAUAGCUUGCAUCACUCCCAUUUUUCAUUUACAAAGUCUUUAAGGAAAAUUCUAAUCUAAUUCUUCAGUCCUUUUAUAAAUAUCUCGCACCACUGUUACCAUUUAUUUAUACAGUCCUCAGGAAAAUGAUCUAAUUCUUCAGUCUUUAUCAAAAUAUUUUAUGUUGCUUCCACCCGUCAUUUAUACAAUCCAAAAUAAAAUUCUAAUCUAAUUCUUCAAUCCAAUUACAAAUAUCUCACCACUGUUAAUAUUUAUUUAUACACUCCUCAGGAAAACGCUCUAAUUCUUCAGUCUUUAUCAAAAUGUCUUACGUCGCUUCCAUUUAUACAAUCCAAAGUAAAAUUCUAAUCUAAUUCAUCAGGCCUUUUUUAAAUACACUUCAUUCUCCUCUCAUAUCCUUCUCACCCCCUCUAUCUGACUUUCCUCCUCUCGUUCUCCCUUUCCUCACUUCUUUCCUUUCAUUAUUCCCUUCCCCCUCUACUGCCCCCCCCCCCCCUCCCCCUCAAGCCGCAACACAACCACCACUUGACGCCAGUAUCUUGCAUCGCUGCCAUAACUUCAGAAUAGUAAGUAAGUUAAAUUAUGCCGCUUCUCUAUUAUAAAUAUCUUACGUUACUCCCACCCUUCAGUUACUCACUUCAACGUCUCAAUCGUCAAAACGUUACAUACAGGAAACAGUGAACAUCAGGAUCGUUAAGUAAAGGUUAAUGAGGCUACUUUCCAUUCCUUUCGUCUUACUCCACUGUCAUCAUAUAUUUAGUUGUUAUUAUUAUUCAUUCAUUUGUUAUUUAUUUAUUAUUUAUUUCUAACACCCUCAGAAAAAGUCAUUAGUAUUUCUGUGAGGGUUUGUCUAUUAAUAUUUCCUUGUCCAUUUAUUAGUAUUUCUUUAUUCAUUAGUUUUUUUUUGGUGUUGUCCAUCGAUGCUUCUUCAAUUUUUAUAUCUGCUGUCUUAUAUCAACUUGUUUUACUUUAUCCAUGACAUUUAUCUUAUUAUUUUCUCUUUCCUUCUCUUUCUUUUCUUUUAUUUCUAUUCUGUUAUUGUUAUUAAAGGUGCACUUAAGGAACGACUCAAGGCUUUAAUUUGUUCUGUUGCGCAAAGCCUUGAUGUCAGCGAAAGCAGGGAGUGUCAUAAAUCUCUGAGCAUACCAUUAUUAACAUUACUAACCAUGUUCUGUCUGAGAUCAGUAUUAUAAGAAACUUUCCCGUCUCACAUCAGCUAUUUCUAAAGGUCAAAGAGGGGAUCAGUUGGGUUCUAAUGAGUGUUUCUUUAGGUUCACGGUACAGAGGAAGGGUCACACUACCACCAGGGUCAUAAAACUACUGCUGGAAAUGCCCACAACUCCUAUGAAAGCCUGGUCAAAUAUGUGUUCUCGGGCGAAAAAAUGUCUUUUAAUACGACCCUGAGAUGCACCAGACCAGACUAGAUUCUCCACAUCCCUUGGUUCUCGUAGAUAUUUAUUGACGUUUAAGUGGUUUAUUUAUGUGUUUUGUUGGGUUUUAUGCUUGGAGUGUAUUUGAGUGUGUGUGCUUGGUCUCAUAGGAGGUUAAAAUGAGAGAGACUUAAGUUUGGUGAGUUGUUAUGUAUAUUGUUUUGGUUUUUGUGUGGUUAGAUUAUUUACACAGUUCUUUGUUGUUUAUUUUACUUGAAGUAGAAGAUUGGAUGCUUGUUUGUUUUGAUUAUCCAUACAUUUCUCAAUUCCUUAUUUAGCUUGAUGAAGAUUGAGUGAGUGUGACUGCUUUUCUUCUUCCUUCUUUUCUUUUCUUUUUUCUUUUGUUUUUGCCUCCUGAAAAACUAUAAUGAAGGAGAUUUGAGUGCGAUUACCUUAGAGACACAUAUAUGCCUCUCUUUUUGGGGCUUAUUUAUGCAAUUAUUUCCCCUUUAUUUAGCUUUUGAGGAAGAAUAACUGAGUGUGUUUAAUAUGCUACAAGAUACAUAUUUAUUUAUUUAUUCAUUUAUUAUCUUUCUUGGUUAUUUACAUUGAGUUUUCUGUUACUAUGAUACCCUUGACAGUCUCUUUUUUUCAGUUUAUUUAUAUCGUUCGUCACUGAUUAUCAAGAGCGACUCAGUGUGUGUGUGUGUGUGUGUGUGUGUGUGUGUGACUUAUGAUCUAUUAUACUUUUGGGUUUUAUUUACGCUUCCAACAUUUGCUUUUGACUUUUUCAGUUAUUCAUACGAUCGUCACUGAUUAUUAACCCGGUAGCUGCGGGGAUCAUGUUUCUUAAAGGCUCCUCUAAGCGAAUUAAUGAGAAAAAAUCAUCACUCCCGCAAAUCAUCAUAUAAUAGAUAACAACGCAUUUGUAAUCAGUUGGUGCAUCCUUUGUUUUUUGGGGUUUAUGUCAAGCCAAAAAUAAGCCCCGUCGCUGGUACGCGGUAAAGCCACAAAUUUGGCCCGUCCUUGCUACCGGGUUAAGAGCGAGUCAGUGUGCGUGUGAUUUAUGAACUAUAUUGCAUUUGUUUCUGUUUGGACUUUCAACAUUUGCUUUCAACUUUUUUUCUGCUUAUGUAUAUCGUUUGUUACUGAUUAUCAAGAGCGGCUCAGCGUUUGUGUGACUUACGAGCUGAAUUGCCUUCGUUUCUGUUUAGACUUUCAACAUUCGCUUUCGACUUUUUUUCAGCUUACUUAUUUCGUUCGUUACUGAUUAUUAAGAAUGGCUCAGCGUGUGUGUGACUUACGAGCUGAAUUGUCUUUGUUUCUGUUUAGACUUUCAACAUUCGCUUUUAACUUUUUUUCAGCUUAUUCGUAUCGUUCGUUUAUUAAGAGCGGAUCAGCGUGUGUGUGACUUACGAACUAUAUUGCCUUGGUUUCUGUUUAGACUUUUAACAUUCGCUUACGACUUUUUUCAGCGUAUGUAUAUCAUUUGUUACUGUUUAUUAAGAGCGGAUCAGCGUGUGUGUGUGCGCGUGACUUACGAGUUAUUCUACUUUUGUUUCUUGUUUCGGCUUCCAACAUUCGCUUUUGACUAUUCUUCAGCUUAUUCAUAUCGUUCGGCUCAGCGUGUGUGUGACUUACAAAGUGUAUUGCCUUAAUUUCUGUUUAGAUUUUCAACAUUCCAGUCGCGUUGCCUCUGUGUCCUUUCCUAGUUUUUGCGACCAGUUAGCAGCAGCAUUAGACUGUAUAUAUUUAUUUGAGAGUAUCCUCCUCUUAUUUAUUCCUAUUUAUUUAUUAGUUGGUCUAUUUAUGUUGAUAUUAGCCCAAGUGCUGAAGGUGUUAAUUUGAGAGGUUAAUGAGUGCGCUGUGAACGAGGGGAAGAUUACCGAUUAACGCAGGUGAAAUAUAUCGUACGAAGUCUUAAUUUCAUCCCAGCCCUAUAUGAUUUUUUUUUUGUUGUUGUUGUUGGUUUACGCAUCUAUACUUAUCUGUUGAUUUAUUUUUUUUGUUCGGUUUCAAACUCCAAAUUCAUAAGUGAGUAAAGAAUGGAGUGUAUGGAGAAAAUGUAUGUUAGAGUUUCAGAUCAUUUAUAACAGAUUUCAGGCCUCUAUGAAUAUGUUUUUAGGUUUACUUAUUUAUUUAUCUUUGGGUUUAUCGUCAAACUCCAAAUUCAUAAGUGAGUAAAAAAUGGAGUGUAUUAGAAAAAAAUGUGGAUGUGUGUAAGGGUAUUAGAUCAUAUUUAACAGUGUUUUCAGUCAUUUAUGAAUAUGUUUUUUGUUGGCUUACUUUAUCAAUUCCUUUUUUCUUUUUCUUUUUAUUUUGGUUCAGCCUCAAACUCCUAAUCCAUAAGUGAGAGUAAAAGAAAUGGAAUGUGAUAGAAAAAAAAAUGUAUAUAAUAUGUGUGUGUAAGGGAAUUAGAUCAUUUAGAGAUUAGUCAUUUCAGUCAUAUGUGAAUUUAUUUUUUACUUAUUUAUCUUAUUUAAUUCAUCUCCAAACUAAUUCAUAAGUGAGACUAAAGAAAUGGAGUAUGACAGAAAAAUGUAUAUGUGUAUGUAAGGGUAUUAGAUCAUUUAUAACAGUGAUUUCAGUCAUCUAUGAAUUUAUUUUGUUGAAUGUUUAUAUAUUUCACCCCUUGGUUUAGCUUAACAAAUCCACAUAUACAAUAUACAAGAUAAUUUAUAUGUACAUGAAUAUAGAUGAAAGAAUUCUGCUUAGUCUAAUUUUAUGCACUUUUUUAUAUUUAAGUCAUUUAUUUUGCUCUUGGGUCCACCUUAAAAAAAAUCUAAAUGAAUAUACAAUAAGUUUUAUGUACAUGGAAGUAGAUGAAUGAACUGUGCUUAGGAUGUAUAUAAUUUUGUGUUUUUCAUAUUUAUUUUUGUUAUCUAUUUAUUUCACUCCUGGGUCCAUCUUUACAAAUCCUAAUAAUUAUAAGUGAAAGGAAAUCAUGGAGGGUGAUACAAGAGAGUUACGCCGGAUUUUAUGAACAUCGUGUCAGUCUUUAUCAAAAACUGUGGCUGAUUUGUCUUUUGUUUACUGUUUUUCAAGGCGUUGGUUGUUAGUUUUGUUGAUUUUUUAUAUAACUUCAUGACGAGUUGGUAAUAGUUUUGUUGAUUUUUUAUAUAACUUCAUGACGAGUUGGUAAUAGUUUUGUUGAUUUUUUUCUUAACUUCAUGACGAGUUUUUAAUAUCUCAACAAAUGUGAAAAUCCAAUAUGACUGAGUUUGUAAUACGUAAGUCGACUUAACUGUGGAAACCCAACACUUCUGUCUAACUACGUCCAAAAAUUGAGUUGAAAAGCCAGACCAGCCACUUAACUGUUAAUAAUUUCUGAUACGACGUUUAAGAAGUCUGGCGUUAAUAUAUACAUGAACAUAGAUUAAAAAAAAGAACUGUGCUUAGCCUAUAAUUUUGUGCACUCCUUGCGUAUUUUUGUCACGCGAUGAAGAGGAAAAACGAGCGAGAGAGAGAAUGUACGUGUUAUGUGUGAAGCUUUUGUCUUUCUAAACCGAGUGGGAAAAUAACAGGCCUUUCCACAGUAUUUUGCUUCCUCUAGUUUCUUUUUUUUACGGUAAAGGAGACAGCUCAAGGUCAAAAAAUAUAUAACUAAAAAUAAGUCUGCUAAUCAUUGCUCCCAUAAAGAAAAGUAGAAAUAAGUGGUUGAAAAAUAGGUCAGUUUUAGAUGGAGAGGCAUUUUGAUAUUCCGCUCUCGAAAGAAGGCGAGUGGUAGGCAGGUUAGGUUAGGUUAGGCAAGCAGGAAGUUAGGUUUUAUAGAAGAUUCUUGUGCUUGUAGAAGUAGUUGUAGAAAUGAGUGGCCAAAAGAGAGGUCAGUUUCAAAUAUAGAGGUUUCUCGAUACUCCCCUCAUGAAAGAAGGCUAGCUAUAGGCAGGAGGUUAGGUUAGGCAGGCAGGAAGUUAGGUUAUGUAGCAGAUUCUUAUGUUCGUAGUAAAAGUUGUAGAAAUGAGUGAUUGAAAGAGAGGUCAAUUUCAGAUGGAGAGGUGUUGAUACUCCCCUCUCGAAAGAAGUCAAGCAGGAGGCAGGAGGUUAGGUUAGGCAGGCAGGAAGUUAGGUUUUGUAGAAGAUUCUUGUGUUUGUAGUAGUAGAAAGGAGUGGCCGAAAGAGAGGUCAAUUUCGGAUGGAGAGGUGUCUUGAUACGCCCCACUAGAAAGAAGGCUAGCUAUAGGCAGGAGGUUAGGUUAGGCAGGCAGGAAGUUAGGUUAUGUAGAAGAUUCUUGUGUUCGUAAUAGUAGUUGUAGAAAUUAGUGGGCGAAAGAGAGGUCAAUUUUGGAUGAAGAGGUGUCAAUACUCCCCUCAAAUCCAUAUAUAAAAGAUACAAGAUAAUUUAUAUGUACAUGAAGAAGGGGAGUUGUAGGCAGGAGGUUAGGUAAGGCAGGAGUGUUAGGUCUUGAAGCUUUUUGUUUUCAUAAAUAUCACUUGCCGAUAAUUCCAGUCUUCAUCUUAUGUGGAGCAAACAACUACAAAUUUACAAUGAUAAACAUAAACAGAUAAUAACUAACCAUCACAAACUAACAAUGGUAAAUAUAGCUAGUUAAUAAUUGCAGUUUUUUUCCUGUGUGACGUUCAGCUGUGUGUGAGAGGAUAGAUAAGAGAGGAAGUGGAUAUGUGCUAUGUAGUGUAUUUUCAUCCUUGUGUCAAUACCCAGUAGAGAGCAAAAUACCCUGAAUGCAAUGCUCAUCCUUAUCUAGAGGAAUUUGUGUCUUAUCAUUAUCACCCUUGUGGCAGGACUUCAUGGAGAGGAAUAUGCCAUGAAUGACAGAUACGAAUACAACUAAAUAUCACUUUAAUAUCAUGGGAUUCAUUACUUAAUAUUUCCUUAUAUGGCAGUAUUGAAUGGAGAGCAAAUUAAGGUGCAGGAAAUGUAGAAAAGCAUCAUAAUUCCACGAGAUAUAUUACUUAAUUUUUCCUUAUAUGACAGCACUGAAUAAAGAGCAAAUUAAGAUGUAUGUUAAUGUAGGAAAGCAUCAUAAUUUCACAAGAUACAUUACUAAAUUUUUCCUUAUAUGGCAGCACUGAAUAAAGAGCAAAUUAAGAUGUAUGUUAAUGUAGGAAAGCAUCAAAAUUUCACGAGAUACAUUACUUAAUUUUUCCUUAUAUGGCAGUACUGAAUAAAGAGCAAAUUAAGAUGUAUGUUAAUGUAGGAAAGCAUCAAAAUUUCACGAGAUAUAUUACUUAAUUUUCCCUUAUAUGGCAGUACUGAAUAAAGAGCAAAUUAAGAUGUAUGUUAAUGUAGGAAAGCAUCAAAAUUUCACGAGAUAUAUUACUUAAUUUUCCCUUAUAUGGCAGUACUAAAUGGAGAGCAAACUAAGGUGUAUGUUAAUGUACGAUACCACCUUAAUAUCAUGGAAUACACUGCACUAUUUUCACCCCUGUGGCAGUACGCAAUAAGGAGCAAAAUACCGUGAACUAGAACCUUGAAUAUCCCUUAGUGCUUUCAUAUAAUUUUCACUCUUACGGCAGAACCCCAUAGGGAACAAAAUACAGUGGAAUGGCUGUUUUCCCCUCAGUUGCUGCCAUCCUGUCUGUCGGUGUCGGUUUUGUGAUCAGAUGUGCCAGUUUUGCACCCCAGGCUGUAGGGUAUAUAGCAUUUCCCUGGUAAAUAUGUACUCUGUUUUAACCUAACCUGGAAAAUAAGUCCCACCCAGUCCUUGUCUGGCAUCCACCUUUAGAAUGUAACCAGAGCCAUAGAGUAGGGCCAAACUAUCCUACUCUUUGGUUCUGGAUGCAAGCUUUCCCAGGAGGAUGACCCAGCGAUAACUCACUCUCCCUUUCUCCCUCUCCUUCCUCUCCCUUCCUCUCUCCCUCUCUCCCUUCUCUCUUUCCCUCUCCUUUCCUCUCCCAAUCUCCCUCUCCCUUAUCUCUUCCUCUCCAUCUCUCUUCCUUUCCCCAUCUCUCCCUUCCUCUCUUCUUUCCUCUCUUCCUUUCUCUCUUCCUUUCUUUUCCUCUCCUCCUCUUCCUUCCUCCACCAAUCCCAUGCAGUAGGAGGAAACAGAGAGGAGGAGUGACUUGUGUGUGGAUUGGCCAAUGGUGUACACUUGCUCGGAAAAGGGGGAGGGGCCUAUUCGCCAUGUUAGUUUGAACCGAGUACAUUCGUGGUUCACCUUACAGGCUUUACAUUGUAUCGUAUCCACUCUAGUCUCGUAACGUAUACCAUCACCGUAGGUUUUUAGUCCAGUAAUGCACGGCAGGUCUCGACUGACGCUUAUUUCAUGUUUUUACUACUGAAACCAUUAAAAAAAUCAUGGUUAUGCAUUGAUAUGGACAGAAAACCAAAUUGUUACUUAAAAUAUGAAGGGAGAGUGAGUUAUAUGUAAAUUAACCUCAUUGUAAACCAUAGAGAAACUGGUUAUUAGUGAUUUAGUAUAUGGAAAAGCACAAAUUCUAACUUGAAAGCUGGUGAUGUGGUUCUAAGUCAUUUGUAUGGAGAGAAAACCUCAAAUUAUCACUACUGGAUACUAGAGUGGCUGUUAACUUGAAGUGUGUUGUAUUAAGUGCCAUAAAACUGGAGAGUAUUGGUAAUUUAUUGGUACUUAGAAGCACAAAUUAAAAAGUGAUACUAGAUUUAAUUACUUGCAUAAUUCAACAUAAAUUUCUGGUUGGAUUAUGAAAUGCACACGAAAUUUAAUAUACUCGCACAUAAAACAAAGGAAAUUUUCAGGAUAAAUGUUGAAAUACACACCAGAAAUGUAUUGAAGCUACAUAUAUGGAAUUAGAUCAUUAGAGGCAGAAUAAAGAAUUAGAUCAUAAGAGACAAUAAAAAAGAAAAGAAAAGAAUGAAGAAAAAUAAAACGAAGACCACAAAACUUCUGCUCUCCCCCCAGACAAAAAAAAAAAAAAAAUGAUAGGCUACAAUUAUGCGGCAUCAGUCUGGAAAAGAAGAAAAAAUUAAGAAAAAAAAAGUCCACCAAACUAGUACUUAAAAAAAGAAAAAAAGAUGGACUAUAAUUUUGUGGCAUCAGUCUAGAAAAUAAGAAAAAAAUAAAAAUAAGAAAAAGAGAGUUGGAUGUAAUUUUGUGGUGUCAGUUUCAAAAAAAAGGAAAAAAUGAGAAAAAAAGAAAAAGAUUGAAAUAAUUUUGUGGUGUAAGUCUCAAAAAUAAGAAAAAGAAAUAAGAAAAAAAGAAAAAGAUGGAAAUAAAUAUGUGGCAUCUCUAGAAAAUAAGAAAAAAAUAAGAAAAAAGAAAAAAAAGACUAAUUUUGUGGUGUCGGUCUCAAAAAUAAGAAAAAAAAUAAGAAAAAAAUAGAAAGAUGGAAAUAA